rnacentral:rRNA from 1 species
CGAGCGGACAGAUGGGAGCUUGCUCCCUGAUGUUAGCGGCGGACGGGUGAGUAACACGUGGGUAACCUGCCUGUAAGACUGGGAUAACUCCGGGAAACCGGGGCUAAUACCGGAUGGUUGUCUGAACUGCAUGGUUCAGACAUAAAAGGUGGCUUCGGCUACCACUUACAGAUGGACCCGCGGCGCAUUAGCUAGUUGGUGAGGUAACGGCUCACCAAGGCGACGAUGCGUAGCCGACCUGAGAGGGUG